UUUGAUGCCUGAGAUGACUGAUGGGUGCACAUGGUUCCUUCGUAUGUUCUUCCUUUGAAAAAAUAAACGUAUUUUGGUGCCUGAGAUGACUGAUGGGUGCACAUGGUUCCUUCGUAUGUUCUUCCUUUGAAAAAAUAAACGUAUUUUGAUGCCUGAGAUGACUGAUGGGUGCACAUGGUUCCUUCGUAUGUUCUUCCUUUGAAAAAAUAAACGUAUUUUGGUGCCAGAGCUGACUGAUGGGUGCACGUGGUUCCUUUGUAUGUUC